rnacentral:lncRNA from 1 species
GGGAGAUGAGAGAAACACAAAUUGGUCAUGGGAGGAAUUUUAUCAAAUUAAAAUCAUUCAUUCAUUUUGGGAGAUGAAAUAUACAUUUCAUCAAUCCCCUAAAUCCAAGAGGGAGGGGAGAUGAGAGAAACACAAAUUGGUCAUGGGAGGAAUUUUAUCAAAUUAAAAUCAUUCAUUCAUUUUGGGAGAUGAAAUAUACAUUUCAUCAAUCCCCUAAAUCCAAUGAU